UAGGGAAUCUUCGGCAAUGGGGGCAACCCUGACCGAGCAACGCCGCGUGAGUGAAGAAGGUUUUCGGAUCGUAAAGCUCUGUUGUAAGUCAAGAACGAGUGUGAGAGUGGAAAGUUCACACUGUGACGGUAGCUUACCAGAAAGGGACGGCUAACUACGUGCCAGCAGCCGCGGUAAUACGUAGGUCCCGAGCGUUGUCCGGAUUUAUUGGGCGUAAAGCGAGCGCAGGCGGUUUGAUAAGUCUGAAGUUAAAGGCUGUGGCUCAACCAUAGUUCGCUUUGGAAACUGUCAAACUUGAGUGCAGAAGGGGAGAGUGGAAUUCCAUGUGUAGCGGUGAAAUGCGUAGAUAUAUGGAGGAACACCGGCGGCGAAAGCGGCUCUCUGGUCUGUAACUGACGCUGAGGCUCGAAAGCGUGGGGAGCGAACAGGAUUAGAUACCCUGGUAGUCCACGCCGUAAACGAUGAGUGCUAGGUGUUGGAUCCUUUCCGGGAUUCAGUGCCGCAGCUAACGCAUUAAGCACUCCGCCUGGGGAGUACGACCGCAAGGUUG
rnacentral:rRNA from 1 species